UUGGCAAAGUUCUGCAAUCAGUCAUUUUCUUUUGUGUCCUGUUUGCCCGAUUUGUACAGCAUACUGUCAGCAGUCAAGGCAAGGAUACUUUCUUUGCCCACAUAGCUAACUUUUUCCAUAAAGAAAACAAACUCCACAUGGAGUUUCUUUGAUGUCCAUCAUCCUCUUUGAAGUAAUUGGUGAUGCCAGGAGCAGACAUGUCUCACUUAUCAGCAGAGCCAGG